UUUCCCCCUCGUUUCCCCUCCCUAAACCUCAGACUCAUCUUGUCAGUUGCUCGUCAGCACUUUCGGUUCUUCAGAAGUUCAAAAGCGCGCUAAACUUUUGAAAGGAUGGAUUCGUUUUCCAUUUAAAUAAUGAACGCUGUCGGUUUGCUUCACCUCUAACACCUCACGGCUCAUGUCACGACCUUGCAAAAGACGCUUUACGGACAUUUAUUUAGAAUUAUAUGGUGUACAGUACGUGUUUUCUGUGUUUUCUGUCUCAGUAACGUAGCUGGACACGGACACUCUGCAAAACCGGCAAAUACCAAGCUGACUUGAACUUCAUCUCACACAAGAGCUAUGACUUUCUCUGCUUUCCACUCUUCCCUGGGAAACAUCUGUUAGUUCUUCGUCAGCAUGACACAGGUGUACAUUUUCUUCAUCUUCCUGUUUUGGUCCCUCUCCACCUAUGAUCUCAAUAAACAAGAACAACACCAGCAACCAGGAAAAUGCUCCCAACAACUGCACCAGCCACAAGUCUCAGAUAAAGAUGAAGAUCUAAAUCACUUUCUGCUUUGAGAUUCGCCACUGGUAGGGGCAUGGAGCAUAUGCCAGCGAACUCACGUCAAAAGGUCUGUCCUGACUGAAAUUAGCACUGUUAAAGCCAGACGACAACAAAUACCAGACUGGCACAACACACAACAAGCUGCUAGACACAGGCCGCUGAAACUGGGACACUUCAUCCUGCACGAAGGCAGGAGGAAACGGAUUUUCAGAUGAACAGGAAAAUAUGUUUUCCAUACUUCAAUUUAAAAUACAAUGUUUAAAACAAACAAACAAACAAACAAAAAAACAUUCUGAUAACUAUUUUAUCUUUUCUACAGGCACACAUAUCACUUGGUCAGUUUCAGACAUCCCGGAUACUUCCACAGCCAGUAGGGAGGGGGAAACGGAUUUUCCUGAUGCCCAGGUAAAUAAGUUUCCCAUACUUCAAUUGAAAGACAGUGUUUUUAAAACCAUUCUGUGGAUUUUACCUGUGCCUCAUGUGCACAUGUCUCUGAGGCAAUUUCAGACAUCCCUGAUACUUCCACAGCUAGUAGGAAGAGGGAAACCGAUUUUCCUGAUCAUCAAUAGUGAGUUGCUUAGUAAAUUAUGGACCCCGCAUGUGUUUGGAAAAAAAUAUUCUUGCCCUUCAUUUACUCCAUUUAAAAAUCUUAGCUUGAACAUGCCAGUUAGAUUCUCUCCCUAAUAAAGUCAGACAAAAUGGAAAGCAGCAUGGAGUGAAAUCUUCUUCGGCUUGCUGCUUAGUAUUGUUUUUGCCCUGACUAUAUGAUAACAUAAAUGCUUUUUUAAAUUCUAGGAAAUCUACCGUUAAAUUUUGUUUUACAGUCAUAUUCAUAUGGAACAUCCUAUUAAAUGAUGGUUUGUCUUACUUGUCACCGUGCGUCUGAGCCAUUAUCUUCAACGGGUGUUCCGAAUGGUGGAGUUUUGUCAAGGGAAGUUCCCUUUAUCGACAUGCCCUGCAAACGGAGCAAUUAGUAGGAAGCACCAUGUGAAGUACACUUCGGAAUGGCACGCAGCCAUAGCAAAGGGAGUUUGGUGUGGUUAACCGUGUGACAAGUUUUGUAUUGCGAUUUGCGAUUUUGUUUUGUAUUGUUGCCCCUUUGAAAUAAACCCUUUGAAAAUUACCUUGAACUGUUCAUUUUUGCCCCUGUUGUCCCUUUAAUCCUUUGACUGCUGAUACAUCCUAACACUUGCAUGCUCUCUAGACUAAGUCCAUUAUAUUUACUGGUCUCACUAGACUUUUUGAUACAAAUGUUCUACUAACAUUCAGUAAGCUUUAAAAUGAGAUCAUUUACUCUCAAGAGUGUGAGAUAUUAUAUGUAAUAUAAGUAGUAAGAUACAUUAAAAACCAUCUAAAAUGAAAUUAUGUAAAUUAAAUUAUUGAAUUAUAAUGUUCAUGUAGAGUUAUGUAGAGUUUUAUUCUACUCU